UACAGAGGGGGCAAGCGUUGUUCGGAAUUACUGGGCGUAAAGGGCGCGUAGGCGGCCUGCUAAGUCGAACGUGAAAUCCCCGAGCUCAACUCGGGAACUGCGUCCGAUACUGGCAGGCUUGAAUCCGGGAGAGGGAUGCGGAAUUCCAGGUGUAGCGGUGAAAUGCGUAGAUAUCUGGAGGAACACCGGAGGCGAAGGCGGCAUCCUGGACCGGCAUUGACGCUGAGGCGCGAAAGCCAGGGGAGCAAACGGG
rnacentral:rRNA from 1 species